UUAGGACUUUCAGAGAUGGAUUGGUGCUCGAAAGAGAACCGUAACACAGGGUGCUGCAUGGCUGUCGCCAGACUCGUGUCGUGAGAUGUUGGGUUAAGUCCCGCAACGAGCGCAACCCUUGCCAAUAAUUGCCAUCAUUUAGUUGGGCACUUUAUUGGGACUGCCGAUGACAAAUCGGAGGAAGGUGGGGAUGACGUCAAGUCCUCAUGGCCCUUAUGGCCAGGGCUUCACACGUAAUACAAUGGUCGGUACAGAGGGUUGCCAAGCCGCGAGGUGGAGCCAAUCCCAGAAAGCCGAUCGUAGUCCGGAUUGCAGGCUGCAACUCGCCUGCAUGAAGUCGGAAUCGCUAGUAAUCGCGGAUCAGCAUGUCGCGGUGAAUACGUUCCCGGGCCUCGUACACACCGCCCGUCACACCAUGGGAGUGGGUUUUACCAGAAGUAGGUAGUCUAACCGCAAGGAGGACGCUUACCACGGUAGUAUUUCAUGACUGGGGUGAAGUCGUCGUAACAAGGUAACCGUAAAUCACUUA
rnacentral:rRNA from 1 species